UACGGAGGGUGCAAGCGUUAUUCGGAAUUACUGGGCGUAAAGGGCGCGUAGGCGGCCUUCUAAGUCAGACGUGAAAUCCCCCGGCUUAACCUGGGAACUGCGUCUGAUACUGGGAGGCUUGAGUAUGGGAGAGGGAUGUAGAAUUCCAGGUGUAGCGGUGAAAUGCGUAGAUAUCUGGAGGAAUACCGGUGGCGAAGGCGGCAUCCUGGACCAUAACUGACGCUGAGGCGCGAAAGCUAGGGGAGCAAACGGG
rnacentral:rRNA from 1 species